CCAGGCUAAUCCGCCUGGUGAGUCGGGGCCUAAGGCGAGGCCGAGAGGCGUAGUCGAUGGAUAACGGUUGAUAUUCCCGUACCGCGUAGGAACGCCCACGACGAACCUUUCCAUGCUAACUGUCCGAGCUGCCGGCGACCUUCGGGUCAAAAGCAGUGAGCACAGGACCCUGGUUGGUAGUAGUUGAGUGAUGGGGUGACGCAGGAAGGUAGCUGAUCCCGGCCGGUGGUUGUGCCGGGGUAAACGUGUAGCCCGUGCCAUAGGCAAAUCCGUGGCGCAUUAWGGGUGAGGCGUGAUGCCGAGCCGUAUCAGGUGAAGUCAGUGAUCCUAUGCUGCCGAGAAAAGCCUCUAGCGAUGUUCCGAGCGGCCCGUACCCGAAACCGACACAGGUGGUCAGGUAGAGAAUACYRAGGCGACGGGCGAACUGUGGUUAAGGAACUCGGCAAAUUGCCCCCGUAACUUAGGGAGAAGGGGGGCCGGACGCGUGAWCMCMCUUGCKGKGGGAGCGUGGUAUGGCCGCAGAGAGCAGGGGGAAGCGACUGUUUACUAAAAACACAGGUCCAUGCGAAGUCGUAAGACGAUGUAUAUGGACUGACGCCUGCCCGGUGCUGGAACGUUAAGGGGACCUGUUAGCUCUUCGGGGCGAGGCGGAGAACUUAAGCGCCAGUAAACGGCGGUGGUAACUAUAACCAUCCUAAGGUAGCGAAAUUCCUUGUCGGGUAAGUUCCGACCUGCACGAAUGGCGUAACGACUUCCCCACUGUCUCAACCACAGGCCCGGCGAAAUUGCAGUACGAGUAAAGAUGCUCGUUACGCGCGGCAGGACGGAAAGACCCCGGGACCUUUACUAUAGCUUGACAUUGGUAUCCGAAUGUAAUUGUGUAGGAUAGGUGGGAGCCGGUGAAGCUUGGACGCCAGUUCGGGUGGAGGCAAUCUUGAAAUACCACUCUGUUGGAUUUGGGUAUCUAACUUGCGGCCCUGAUCGGGUCGAGGGACAGUGUCUGGUGGGUAGUUUAACUGGGGCGGUUGCCUCCUAAAGGGUAACGGAGGCGCCCAAAGGUUCCCUCAGCCUGGUUGGCAAUCAGGUGUUGAGUGUAAGUGCACAAGGGAGCUUGACUGUGAGACUGACAGGUCGAGCAGGGACGAAAGUCGGGACUAGUGAUCCGGCACUUGCGUGUGGAAGCGGUGUCGCUCAACGGAUAAAAGGUACCCCGGGGAUAACAGGCUGAUCUUCCCCAAGAGUCCAUAUCGACGGGAUGGUUUGGCACCUCGAUGYCGGCUCGUCGCAUCCUGGGGCUGUAGCAGGUCCCAAGGGUUGGGCUGUUCGCCCAUUAAAGCGGUACGCGAGCUGGGUUUAGAACGUCGUGAGACAGUUCGGUCCCUAUCCGCCGUGCGCGUUGGAUACUUGAGAAGGGCUGUCCCUAKUACGAGAGGACCGGGACGGACGAACCUCUGGUGUGCCAGUUGUCCCGCCAGGGGCACGGCUGGUUGGCUACGUUCGGAAGGGAUAACCGCUGAAAGCAUCUAAGCGGGAAGCUCGCUUCGAGAUGAGGUAUCCCACCCACUUUGAGGGGUAAGGCUCCCAGCCAGACGACUGGGUUGAUAGGCCGGAGAUGUAAGCCAGGUAACUGGUUCAGUCGACCGGUACUAAUAA
rnacentral:rRNA from 1 species